rnacentral:piRNA from 1 species
UGCAUGUAACAGCCUUUCUGAAGACUUUUUU